rnacentral:lncRNA from 1 species
UAAAAACACACACAGGUGUGUUCGAUCGACAGGAGGAGCAGGGAGAAAGGGGUGAAACCCUAACUCAACAAAACCUUCAAAUUGGAGGAUCAAACGAAGGCCAAAUUCGGAUUGGAAUAUACAUAAACGAUCACCAAGUCAAGGGGAUCGAAAGGAACGGGUCAAACGGAUCAUUGAUGCAAAGAAUGUUUGCGCGGACGCGAGUUGACUCUAAACAAGCUAGGUGGGAGCUUGGAAAGGAACGGGUCAAACGGAUCAUGGAUGCAAAGAAUGUUUGCGCGGACGCGAGGUAAGUUAAGCUUACACUCUUUUUUUAAUUACAAUACACUUGUGAAUAUUGAUUGUGAAUAAUGGUAAGUAAUUGGAAUAUGAUGUUCCGGCAAGAUACAAUGCAAGUCGGAAUAUGUAAAAAGGUAAGAAACCAUGAAUUAUGGUAAAAGGGGUAAAAAGGUAAAUUAGUCAUGUAAUGACGAACAAAUAAAAAUGGUUUUGAGUAAAACGAGUUUAAGGGAAAACCGGGAUAGGUUUAAAGGGAUGAAAUGGUAACUAAAUACCAUCUCAUACGGAUAAAUGGUCAUUUAGGCUAAAUGGGUCAAAUGGUGUUGUUAACACCAUUUGACAAUUUCAUUUGACAAUUGCUUGUUGAGUGUUGUAAUCACAGGAAACAACAUAAACGUGCGUUGUUUUAACUAGAAAUAUUUAAAGCAAAAAGUUAUGUAAACGGGUCAAUACAUUGACCCGAGCCAGGUACGCAUAGUUAAGUUGCUAGAUAAACAUGCAAAUAUGGGUCAAAUAAUUAGCGAGAGUCCUUCGUCGUAAAUGAGGGACUAAAAAUUGACCAAAACGCCCAUGAUUUGUAAAUCGGGCAAAUGACCCUUAGAGGUCGUUUAGAUACUAGUAUUAUGAUUAUGCAACUCCUAGAUAUAUGUAAGAGUUGUAAGUAUAAACCUUGAGAGUCAAAUGCCUAAGAACGGGUAAAUUACGUAGAAUGACUAUCCAAAGGGUAAAAUUUAGAAUAACGGUCCGUUAUGUUAAAUCCACUACAAAAUAGUUGUUGUGGAAUAUUAGAGGCUAUUAUAAAAAAAUGGAAAUACGAAGUGUACAAAGAGAAAUGCGAGUUUGAUGCUUAAAUGCAUGAAAACUUCUAAACGGGUCAAAAUAAAGUAGGUGGUAAAAUGUUGGCUUAAGUGUAAUAAAGAAAAACGUAAACCGGGUAACGGGAGCGUAAACUAUAUGAAUAAUGGAUCCGGGUAAUGGAUGAUAGCUUAGACAUGUUAAGAAACGAACCCCAAGCAAUUAAAAUGAGUUUGGAUAGGUUUGGAUGCAAAUUUGAUGAAAAAUAAACGUGCAGAGUUGACACGGGCGGGUGAACUUUUGACACGGCCGGGUGAAGGGGCUGUGAAAAAUAUAUGUUAAGCUGACACGGCCGGGUGAUCUUUUGACACGGCCGGGUGAAGG